GGUCGCUUAGCUCAGUUGGUUAGAGCGUGGUGCUAAUAUCACAUGAUAUAAAACGCCAAGGUAUGUUCUCCCCCUCUGGUUCCUCUCUCCGCACAAAAACCUUGAGGAACUAACAGGCGUUAGGUCGCGAGUUCGACCCUCGUAGUGACCA